UGUAUAGUCUGGUGUGGUUGUGGUAGUAGUGUAUAGUCUAGUGUGGUUGUGGUAGUGUUUUUCUCACGGUCUCUUUAGUCUGGUGUGGUUGUGGUAGUAGUGUAUAGCCUGGUUUUGUUGUGGUAGUAGUGUAUAGUCUGGUGUGGGUGUGGUAGUAGUGUAUAGUCUGGUGUGGUUGUGGUAGUAGUGUAUAGUCUUGUGCGGUUGUGGUAGUAGUGUAUAGUCUGGUGCGGUUGUGGUAGUAGUGUAUAGUCUGUUGUGGUAGUAGUGUAUAGUCUGGUGUGGUUGUGGUAGUGUUUUGCUCACGGUCUCUUUAGUCUGGUGUGGUUGUGGUAGUAGUGUAUAGUUUGUUGUGGUAGUAGUGUAUAGUCUGGUGUGGUUGUGGUAGUAGUGUAUAGUGUGGUUCUGUUGUGGUAGUAGUGUAUAGUCUGGUGUGGUUGUGGUAGUGUUUUGCUCACGGUCUCUUUAGUCUGGUGUGGUUGUGGUAGUAGUGUAUAGUUUGUUGUGGUAGUAGUGUAUAGUCUGGUGUGGUUGUGGUAGUAGUGUAUAGUGUGGUGUGGUAGUAGUGUAUAGUCUGGUGUGGUAGUAGUGUAUAGUCUGGUGUGGUUGUGGUAGUAGUGUAUAGUCUGGUGUGGUUGUGG
rnacentral:lncRNA from 1 species